GCCUGGGUGGCUCAGUUGGUUAAGUGUCUGACUUCAGCUCAGGUCAUGAUCUCCUAUUUUGUGAGUUCAAGCCCCGCAUCAGGCU
rnacentral:tRNA from 1 species